GGAUGAACGCUAGCGGCAGGCUUAACACAUGCAAGUCGAGGGGCAGCGAGGGUAAUAGCAAUAUUACCUGUCGGCGACCGGCGCACGGGUGCGUAACGCGUAUGCAACCUACCAUCAACAGGGGGAUAACACUGAGAAAUUGGUACUAAUACCCCAUAAUAUCUCAUGCGGCAUCGCAUGGGGUUGAAAACUCCGGUGGUUGAUGAUGGGCAUGCGUUGUAUUAGCUGGUUGGUGAGGUAACGGCUCACCAAGGCGACGAUACAUAGGGGGACUGAGAGGUUAACCCCCCACAUUGGUACUGAGACACGGACCAAACUCCUACGGGAGGCAGCAGUGAGGAAUAUUGGUCAAUGGACGCAAGUCUGAACCAGCCAUGCCGCGUGCAGGAUGACGGCUCUAUGAGUUGUAAACUGCUUUUGUACGAGGGUAAACCCCGAUACGUGUAUUGGGUUGAAAGUAUCGUACGAAUAAGGAUCGGCUAACUCCGUGCCAGCAGCCGCGGUAAUACGGAGGAUCCGAGCGUUAUCCGGAUUUAUUGGGUUUAAAGGGUGCGUAGGCGGUUUGAUAAGUUAGAGGUGAAAUGUCGGGGCUCAACCCCGAAACUGCCUCUAAUACUGUUGGACUAGAGAAUAGUUGCGGUAGGCGGAAUGUAUGGUGUAGCGGUGAAAUGCUUAGAGAUCAUACAGAACACCGAUUGCGAAGGCAGCUUACCAAACUAUAUCUGACGUUGAGGCACGAAAGCGUGGGUAGCAAACAGGAUUAGAUACCCUGGUAGUCCACGCAGUAAACGAUGAUAACUCGUUGUCGGCGAUACACAGUCGGUGACUAAGCGAAAGCGAUAAGUUAUCCACCUGGGGAGUACGUUCGCAAGAAUGAAACUCAAAGGAAUUGACGGGGGCCCGCACAAGCGGAGGAACAUGUGGUUUAAUUCGAUGAUACGCGAGGAACCUUACCCGGGCUUGAAAGUUAGCGACGACGCUUGAAAGAGCGUUUCCCUUCGGGGCGCGAAACUAGGUGCUGCAUGGUUGUCGUCAGCUCGUGCCGUGAGGUGUCGGGUUAAGUCCCAUAACGAGCGCAACCCCUACUGUUAGUUGCCAUCAGGUGAUGCUGGGCACUCUAGCGGGACUGCCGGUGUAAGCCGAGAGGAAGGUGGGGAUGACGUCAAAUCAGCACGGCCCUUACGUCCGGGGCCACACACGUGUUACAAUGGUAGGUACAGAGGGCAGCUACCCUGCGAAGGGGUGCGAAUCUCGAAAGCCUAUCUCAGUUCGGAUUGGAGGCUGAAACCCGCCUCCAUGAAGUUGGAUUCGCUAGUAAUCGCGCAUCAGCCAUGGCGCGGUGAA
rnacentral:rRNA from 1 species